rnacentral:rRNA from 1 species
CCUACGGGAGGCUGCAGUCGAGGAUCUUUAGCAAUGGGCGAAAGCCUGACUAUGCGACGCCGCGUGAGGGAUGAAGGUCUUCGGAUCGUAAACCUCUUUCGAUGGGAAAGAAGCCCCGAAUUUUCGGGGUUGACGGUACCCAGAGAAGAAGCCACGGCCAACUCCGUGCCAGCAGCCGCGGUAAUACGGAGGUGGCAAGCGUUACUCGGAUUCAUUGGGUGUAAAGGGCAGGUAGGCGGUCAUGUAAGUUGGAGGUGAAAUCCUUUGGCUCAACCAAAGAACUGCCUUCAAAACUACAUGACUUGAGAAUGGGAGAGGAAAACGGAAUUCCCGGUGUAGGGGUAAAAUCUGUAGAUAUCGGGAGGAACACCAGUGGCGAAGGCGGUUUUCUGGCCCAUUUCUGACGCUGAGCUGCGAAAGCUAGGGGAGCAAACAGGAUUAGAUACCCCUGUAGU